UGUCCAAUAGCACCUUAGAGACCAACUAAGUUUGUUCUGGGUACAGUAUAAGCUUUUGUGUGCAUACACACUUGUUCUGAUGAAAGCUUAUACCCAGAACAAACUUAUUUAGUCUCUAAGGUGCUACUGGACA